AUUGAACGCUGGCGGCAGGCCUAACACAUGCAAGUCGAACGGUAACAGGAAGCAGCUUGCUGCUUUGCUGACGAGUGGCGGACGGGUGAGUAAUGUCUGGGAAACUGCCUGAUGGAGGGGGAUAACUACUGGAAACGGUAGCUAAUACCGCAUAACGUCGCAAGACCAAAGAGGGGGACCUUAGGGCCUCUUGCCAUCGGAUGUGCCCAGAUGGGAUUAGCUAGUAGGUGGGGUAACGGCUCACCUAGGCGACGAUCCCUAGCUGGUCUGAGAGGAUGACCAGCCACACUGGAACUGAGACACGGUCCAGACUCCUACGGGAGGCAGCAGUGGGGAAUAUUGCACAAUGGGCGCAAGCCUGAUACAGCCAUGCCGCGUGUAUGAAGAAGGCCUUCGGGUUGUAAAGUACUUUCAGCGGGGAGGAAGGGAGUAAAGUUAAUACCUUUGCUCAUUGACGUUACCCGCAGAAGAAGCACCGGCUAACUCCGUG
rnacentral:rRNA from 1 species